rnacentral:rRNA from 1 species
UGGGGAAUAUUGGACAAUGGGCGAAAGCCUGAUCCAGCCAUGCCGCGUGUGUGAAGAAGGUCUUCGGAUUGUAAAGCACUUUAAGUUGGGAGGAAGGGCAUUAACCUAAUACGUUAGUGUUUUGACGUUACCGACAGAAUAAGCACCGGCUAACUCUGUGCCAGCAGCCGCGGUAAUACAGAGGGUGCAAGCGUUAAUCGGAAUUACUGGGCGUAAAGCGCGCGUAGUUGGUUUGUUAAGUUGGAUGGGAAAUCCCCGGGCUAAACCUGGGAACUGCAUUCAAAACUGACUGACUAGAGUAUGGUAGAGGGUGGUGGAAUUUCCUGUGUAGCGGUGAAAUGCGUAGAUAUAGGAAGGAACACCAGUGGCGAAGGCGACCACCUGGACUAAUACUGACACUGAGGUGCGAAAGCGUGGGGAGCAAACA